rnacentral:rRNA from 1 species
GACAGAGGUCCCGAGCGUUAGGCGGAAUCACUGGGCUUAAAGCGUGUGUAGGCGGAUCGUUAAGUACCUUGUGAAAUCCCACGGCUUAACCGUGGAACUGCUUGGUAUACUGGCGAUCUUGAGCCACUUAGGGGCUACCGGAACAAAUGGUGGAGCGGUGAAAUGCGUAGAUAUCUGGAGGAACACCGGUGGCGAAGGCGGCGUUCUGGACUGCAACUGACACUGAGGAACGAAAGCCAGGGGAGCAAACGGG